rnacentral:rRNA from 1 species
AGAGUUUGAUCAUGGCUCAGAAUCAACGCUGGCGGCGUGCCUAACACAUGCAAGUCGAACGCGAAAGUCCCGCAAGGGAUUAGUAGAGUGGCAAACGGGUGAGUAACACGUGGGUGACCUGCCUUCGAGUGGGGGAUAACGUCCCGAAAGGGACGCUAAUACCGCAUGAUAUGCCGCCCUUUAAGGGGUGGACAUCAAAGCUGGGGAUCGCAAGACCUAGCGCUGGAAGAGGGGCCCGCGUCCGAUUAGCUAGUUGGUGGGGUAAUGGCUCACCAAGGCAACGAUCGGUAGCCGGCCUGAGAGGGCGGACGGCCACACUGGGACUGAGACACGGCCCAGACUCCUACGGGAGGCAGCAGUGGGGAAUUGUUCGCAAUGGGCGCAAGCCUGACGACGCAACGCCGCGUGGAGGAUGAAGACCUUCGGGUCGUAAACUCCUUUCGAUCGAGACGAAUGGCCUCCGGGUGAACAAUCCGGAGGAAUGACGGUACCGAGAGAAGAAGCCCCGGCUAACUCCGUGCCAGCAGCCGCGGUA